rnacentral:tRNA from 1 species
GGUUCAGUAGCUCAGUUGGAAGAGCGCCUGCGUGAAGCACAGGAGGCCGGCGGUUCGACUCCGUCCUGGACCA